UGGAGGUUGAGGCCAAAAAAGCUCACUGGAAAGAAUCACAUUUGGACAUCCAUUGGUGGUUACGAGAUAAAAGGGUUGGCUUUCUCAACAAUAAACCCGAACUGCAUCUAUAUUCAAGGGGUUGAUUAUGAGGUAAAUUUUCUCAUUUUCUAAUAAAUGUAUUACUACUUUUGUCAACCAAAAUAUAAAGAAAAUGAAAGGUGUAAUAUGAGUUUUGUUUUCUCCCAUACAUUACAAAACAUAGAUUAUGGUGUGUGGGUACUAACUCAUGAAGUAUAUUUUAAAUGUGAUUCGAAGUUAAAGUCCAAUUAUUGUUUCUUUAAUUCAUUUGUAUAUAUUGUACUAUAGUGACAGUGGCUCUGGAUCUCAUUAUAAAGUGAAGGUUAUCUUCAAGGGUUGAUAAAAUCUACUUUUCAUUUGUUUGAAAUAAAGCAAUAUAUUUGCUCUCUUAUUCCUUUCCUCUAACAAAAUCCAAGAUGUCAACGUAACUUGUUUUUAUUUCAUCAAUCUUGACCUUUUAUCUACAUGAAGAUAAUAACCUAUAAUCUCAUUAUGGUUCUUAUAUUAUAGG
rnacentral:sRNA from 1 species